rnacentral:rRNA from 1 species
GAACGCUGGCGGCAUGCCUAACACAUGCAAGUCGAACGGAGGUAGGGGCAACUCUACUUCAGUGGCGGACGGGUGAGGAAUGCGUCGGAAUCUACCCUAUGGUGGGGGAUAACACAGGGAAACUUGUGCUAAUACCGCAUGAUGUCGAGAGACCAAAGCAGGGGACCGCAAGGCCUUGCGCGAUAGGAUGAGUCGACGCCCGAUUAGCUAGUUGGUAGGGUAAUGGCCUACCAAGGCGACGAUCGGUAGCUGGUCUGAGAGGAUGAUCAGCCACACUGGGACUGAGACACGGCCCAGACUCCUACGGGAGGCAGCAGUGGGGAAUAUUGGACAAUGGGCGAAAGCCUGAUCCAGCAAUGCCGCGUGUGUGAAGAAGACCUGCGGGUUGUAAAGCACUUUUGUUCGGGAAGACGACGGAUCGGUUAAUACCCGGUUCGGAUGACGGUACCGAAAGAAUAAGCACCGGCUAACUUCGUGCCAGCAGCCGCGGUAAUACGAAGGGUGCAAGCGUUAAUCGGAAUUACUGGGCGUAAAGCGUGCGUAGGCGGCUUCUUAAGUCGGAUGUGAAAUCCCCGGGCUUAACCUGGGAAUGGCAUCCGAUACUGGGGAGCUGGAGUUUGGGAGAGGGUGGUGGAAUUCCCGGUGUAGCGGUGAAAUGCGUAGAGAUCGGGAGGAACAUCAGUGGCGAAGGCGGCCACCUGGCCUAAAACUGACGCUGAGGCACGAAAGCGUGGGGAGCAAACA